rnacentral:lncRNA from 10 species
UUGGCCCCAAAACCAAAGAAACUUACUAUAUUCCUUUUCUUUUAUACACUUUCAAGGAGGAUUUCCAGUAUUAUGUAAUCCUUAAAACGUUUUAAGGAUUUAAAACAUUUUAAAACCCUAGAGGGUAAGGAUUUACACAAAGGUGCAACACAGGACUUUAACCGUUUUAUUUAUGUUUUUUUGAGAUGAAGUAUUGCUCUGUCACCCAGGGUGGAGUACAGUGGCGCAAUCUCAACUCACUACAACCUCCGCCUCCAGGGUUCAAGUGAUUCUCCUUCCUCAGCCUUCCAUGUAGCUGGGAUUAUAGACAUGCCCCACCGUGCCCACCUAGUAGAGACAGGGUUUCACCAUGUUGACCAGGCUGGUCUGGAACUCCUGACCUUAGGUGAUCCAACCGUCCCACCUCGGUCUCCCAAAGUGCUGGGAUUACAGGCGUGAGCCCCCACGCCCGGCCAGCUAAUUCUAUUGUUUUUUGUAGAGAUGGGUUUUCGCUAUGUUGGCCAGGCUGGUUUUGAACUCCGGACCUCAAGUGAUCCGCCCACCUCACCCUCCCUAAAUUCUGGGAUUAUAGGCAUGAGCCAUCGCACCUGGCCCAUUUUAUUUGAUUUUUAAAUUCUUUUUGUAAAUUGACAAACUUUAGUUGCAUAUAUUGGUACAAAGUAGUUAUUAACACAAUAUGGAGUAAUUAAAUCAAGCUAAUUAACAUAUCACCUCAAAUAUUUUUGUGACAAGAACAUUUGAAAUUUUGAAAUAUACAAUACACUAUUAACUAUUUUCACCAUGCCAUGCAAUAUAUACCCUCCACCCACCACCCCCCCAAAAAAAAACACAAAAACUGGCAGGGCACAGUGGCUCACGCCUAUAAUCCCAGCACUUUGGGAGGACUAGACAAGGGGAUCGCUUGAGCUGAAGAGUUCGAGACCAACCUGGGCAACACAGCAAGACUUCGUCUCUACAAAAUACAAAAAAUUAGCUGAGCAUGAUGGCACAUACCUGUAGACCCAGUACUCAGGAGGCUAAGGUGGGAGGAUUGCUUGAACCCAGGAGUUUGAGACUACAGUGAGCUCUACUGUGCUCCAGCCUGGGUGACAGAGCAAUAUCCCGUUUCAAAAAAAAAAAAAUACAAUUUAUUUCUCCUGACUAAGGCUUUGUUUCCCUUGCACGUCUCCCCAUUCCCCCAUCCCACAGCCCUUGGUGACCACCACUUCUCUGCUUCUGAGUUCUACUGUUUAGAUUCCACAUAUAAAUGAAUAUGAGCCGAGGUCAGGAGAUUGAGACCAUCCUGGCUAACACGGUAAAACCCUGUCUCUACCAAAAAUACAAAAAAUUAGCCAGGCGUGGUGGCAGGCGCCUGUAGUCCCAGUUACUCAGGAGGCUGAGGCAGGAGAAUCGCUUGAACCCGGGAGGCGGAAGUUACCGUGAGCUGAGAUUGCGCCACUGCACUCCAGCCUGGGCGACAAGAGUGAGAGUGAGACUCCGUCUCAAAAAAAAAAAAAAAAAAAGUCAGCAUUUUUUUAAAAAGUUUAACAUUUUAUUUUUCAUAUUUAAAUAAACAAAUUAUAAAAACAUACAUUCCCAGCCUUUGUAGUGUUUUCGCCAAGCAAAAAAAAAAAAAAAAAAAAAAAACAAACAAACUCGUACAGAAGGUGGCAGUGUUGAUUCAUUUAAAGGGAACGAAACACCCUUACAGUAUCAACAUUAAAUAGGAAAACAGCAGCAAAG